UUGUAUAACUACCCUCCACCCCCUGCCAAGGACCUCUGUCUUUACAGGCCAUAAGAUUAGAUGGAGGCUCUGAGUUUCCUGUAAGACAAGCCCAUCUCUGUGUGAGAGCUGCUGGAAGAAUUGGAGAUUUAAGAACUGGUGGUUCCAAAUCCAUGCUUGAAUUGGCUCCAGCCCCAGCUCUGUCCCCUUCUACUUCUAUAUGUGGUAUGAUCACGGACAGUGAGGGAACCAUCAACAGAGGGAGGGAUCUGGACACAAAUCCCGAUAUUCAGCUGGGUACAAUGCUGCCCAAUGGAAAUUCUCGGUUUCCACCUUUCUUGCAGGCCGGGCGUGGUGGCUCAUGCCUGUAAU